CUUGCUUCUCUUGAGAGCGGCGGACGGGUGAGUAAUGCCUAGGAAUCUGCCUGGUAGUGGGGGAUAACGUCCGGAAACGGACGCUAAUACCGCAUACGUCCUACGGGAGAAAGCAGGGGACCUUCGGGCCUUGCGCUAUCAGAUGAGCCUAGGUCGGAUUAGCUAGUUGGUGGGGUAAUGGCUCACCAAGGCGACGAUCCGUAACUGGUCUGAGAGGAUGAUCAGUCACACUGGAACUGAGACACGGUCCAGACUCCUACGGGAGGCAGCAGUGGGGAAUAUUGGACAAUGGGCGAAAGCCUGAUCCAGCCAUGCCGCGUGUGUGAAGAAGGUCUUCGGAUUGUAAAGCACUUUAAGUUGGGAGGAAGGGCAGUAAAUUAAUACUUUGCUGUUUUGACGUUACCGACAGAAUAAGCACCGGCUAACUCUGUGCCAGCAGCCGCGGUAAUACAGAGGGUGCAAGCGUUAAUCGGAAUUACUGGGCGUAAAGCGCGCGUAGGUGGUUCGUUAAGUUGGAUGUGAAAUCCCCGGGCUCAACCUGGGAACUGCAUUCAAAACUGACGAGCUAGAGUAUGGUAGAGGGUGGUGGAAUUUCCUGUGUAGCGGUGAAAUGCGUAGAUAUAGGAAGGAACACCAGUGGCGAAAGGCGACCACCUGGACUGAUACUGACACUGAGGUGCGAAAGCGUGGGGGAGCAACAGGAUUAGAUACCCUGGUAGUCCACGGCCGUAAACAAUGUCACUAACCGUUGGG
rnacentral:rRNA from 1 species